GGUCACUUAGCUCAGUGGUUAGAGCUUCACUUUUGAAUGUUGAGUUUGCAGGUUUGAUUCAUGCAGUGCACA
rnacentral:tRNA from 1 species